GUACGAGAGAGAAGAAAGAACUGAAAGAGGUGUACAAACAGAGAAAGAAUGAGAGACGUGUCGACAAACACACACACGCAGAGAUAAACACACACACACACACACACACACACACACAACACAACACAACACAACACACGCACACAAACUUAAGUCCUAUGACAGGGACAGUCCCGAACCAAGGACCAGGUACAGGGUAAUUGAACAUCGUAGACUGUGUGAACAAGGUGAGAGUAUUUGAGUUUGAGAAAGUUUCUAAAAGAGAUGGGGCUGGGGAAAGUUUCAGGAUUAACCUCUUUACAAACAAUAUUCCAUGGUUUAACUAUACGGUCAAAAUACGAUGAUUUAAAAUGGUGAUUUUUAAUGGUGUUUGUCUCCCGGUAAAGAACUGAAAAAUUCUAAUGUAUGCUGACGAUAUCGUUUUGUGUUAUGCUCACAAAGAUGUUAAAACCAUAAAACAAAAGCUAACUAAAGACAUGUCACAUGUAUCGGAG